rnacentral:rRNA from 1 species
GACAGAGGGGGCAAGCGUUGCUCGGAAUCACUGGGCGUAAAGAGCUCGUAGGCGGUCUGUCGCGUCGGAUGUGAAAGCCCGGGGCUUAACCCCGGGUCUGCAUUCGAUACGGGCAGACUGGAGUGUGGUAGGGGAGAUCGGAAUUCCUGGUGUAGCGGUGAAAUGCGCAGAUAUCAGGAGGAACACCGGUGGCGAAGGCGGAUCUCUGGGCCAUUACUGACGCUGAGGAGCGAAAGCGUGGGGAGCGAACAGG